ensembl:miRNA
UUGUGCUUGAUCUAACCAUGUGGUUGCCAGGUAUGAGUAAAACAUGGUUCCGUCAAGCACCAUG